rnacentral:lncRNA from 1 species
CCGUAGCAACAUCCCCAAUCCGAAUUUUGACAUCUAGACAAGCUCCAUAUAAUUCGCCUCGUGUGUUAUUAGCUGCUCGUAUUGCCCAUCCAUGUUCCAUAUCAAUUGGCCAUUUUUGCUUCUUAUAAAGAUCUUUAGACAUGAGAUUUAUUUCAGAACCAUGGUCCACCAAAGCAACUAUUGGUUCUUCUAUAUCUCCUACCUUCACCAAUACCUCAGUAGUUGCCUUUGCCCAAUGCUUUCGAGUAUAAUGGCUCAAAGUUUCUAUUUUCUUGUCACUAGAAUCUUCGAAACGUACUCGCUGAUUAUACCCAUUCUUUUCAUUUGUUGGUUGCUUGUAACCAAUAUCAACCUCUUCUUCAUCUCUACAUAUUCUUGCAUCAAUAGCAUG